ensembl:lincRNA
GUCCCAGAAAGCACCCAACAUCCACAUUGGUUUUGAGGACUCCCAGCAUUUAUGAGCUUGGGCUACAGGUUCAAUGUCAAGUAAUCCUCUAACAAUCCUGUGUGGUAGGUACUAAUUUUUAUCAUGCUUAUUGCACAGAUGAGGAGACUGAGGCUCUGCGAAAUGACCAUGCCAGUAAGGGCAGAGCCAGGACUCCUAGCCAGAAAUGUACAAGCCAGGAUUCCCAGCCAGAUCCUACAGACUCAUUCUGUUCCACCCAAGGCUUCCAUGAAGGACCUUGGAGAGAGGCCAUUACCAGCUGGACUUCCCACCUUACAGGUAACACAUGUGAUGUCUAAGUUCAUCAACUUGGAUUUAAGUGACUGGGCCUACUUCAACUCUUCAUGACUGCAGAAGAAAGUAGGUGUUUUGUUCCUUAAAUUACUGUCUUUGAUAUCUGCUGAGCAGAGAGUUUAAU